AGAGGGGGCAAGCGUUGUUCGGAAUUACUGGGCGUAAAGGGCGCGUAGGCGGCCUUCUAAGUCGAACGUGAAAUCCCCGGGCUCAACCCGGGAACUGCGUCCGAUACUGGAAGGCUUGAAUCCGGGAGAGGGAUGCGGAAUUCCAGGUGUAGCGGUGAAAUGCGUAGAUAUCUGGAGGAACACCGGUGGCGAAGGCGGCAUCCUGGACCGGCAUUGACGCUGAGGCGCGAAAGCCAGGGGAGCAAACGGGAUUAGAUACCCCGGUAGUCCUGGCCCUAAACGAUGAAUGCUUGGUGUGGCGGGUAUCGAUCCCUGCCGUGCCGAAGCUAACGCAUUAARCAUUCCGCCUGGGGAGUACGGUCGCAAGGCUG
rnacentral:rRNA from 1 species